UUCUCAUCCUAAGCUUGCAGGGCCAAGUGCUGCCGGGUGUUGGAGAAGUAGUUUGGUUCUGAUGUAGAUGGAUAAUAUGUGACCCCAAUAAUUCUGGAGAUGACACUCCUGGUCAUUUUCUUCUCUGUCCAUGGGAGGUGAGAGGGGAUACUAGUAAGAUGAGCCCCAGAGACAGAGGAUGGAGGUGAAGUGAAGGAAGCACAGAGACACCAGUGCUGGGCC
rnacentral:lncRNA from 1 species